rnacentral:sRNA from 22 species
AGUCGCUCGCGUUAGGGAUAGAAGCGGCAUCCCUCAUUGCCGAUAGGUAUCGGAAAUGAGGAUAUAGCAUAUAGCCCGACGCUUU